rnacentral:rRNA from 1 species
AUUGAACGCUGGCGGCAGGCCUAACACAUGCAAGUCGAACGAGUGGCGGACGGGUGAGUAAUGUCUGGGAAACUGCCCGAUGGAGGGGGAUAACUACUGGAAACGGUAGCUAAUACCGCAUACCAUCGGAUGUGCCCAGAUGGGAUUAGCUAGUAGGUGGGGUAACGGCUAACCUAGGCGACGAUCCCUUGCUGGUCUGAGAGGCUGACCAGCCACCACGGAACUGAGACACGGUCCAGACUCCUACGGGAGGCAGCAGGGGGGAAUAUUGCACAAGGGGCGCAAGCCUUAUGCAGCCAUGCCGCGUGUAUGAAGAAGGCCUUCGGGUUGUAAAGUACUUUCAGCGAGUAGGCGUUACUCGCAGAAGAAGCACCGGCUAACUCCGUGCCAGCAGCCGCGGUAAUAC